rnacentral:rRNA from 1 species
UACGUAGGGUGCAAGCGUUAAUCGGAAUUACUGGGCGUAAAGCGUGCGCAGGCGGUUUUGUAAGUCUGACGUGAAAUCCCCGGGCUCAACCUGGGAAUUGCGUUGGAGACUGCAAGGCUGGAGUCUGGCAGAGGGGGGUAGAAUUCCACGUGUAGCAGUGAAAUGCGUAGAGAUGUGGAGGAACACCGAUGGCGAAGGCAGCCCCCUGGGUCAAGACUGACGCUCAUGCACGAAAGCAUGGGGAGCGAACAGG